UACCUUUUGUAUAAUGGGUCAGCGACUUAUAUUCUGUAGCAAGGUUAACCGAAUAGGGGAGCCGAAGGGAAACCGAGUCUUAACUGGGCGUUAAGUUGCAGGGUAUAGACCCGAAACCCGGUGAUCUAGCCAUGGGCAGGUUGAAGGUUGGGUAACACUAACUGGAGGACCGAACCGACUAAUGUUGAAAAAUUAGCGGAUGACUUGUGGCUGGGGGUGAAAGGCCAAUCAAACCGGGAGAUAGCUGGUUCUCCCCGAAAGCUAUUUAGGUAGCGCCUCGUGAAUUCAUCUCCGGGGGUAGAGCACUGUUUCGGCAAGGGGGUCAUCCCGACUUACCAACCCGAUGCAAACUGCGAAUACCGGAGAAUGUUAUCACGGGAGACACACGGCGGGUGCUAACGUCCGUCGUGAAGAGGGAAACAACCCAGACCGCCAGCUAAGGUCCCAAAGUCAUGGUUAAGUGGGAAACGAUGUGGGAAGGCCCAGACAGCCAGGAUGUUGGCUUAGAAGCAGCCAUCAUUUAAAGAAAGCGUAAUAGCUCACUGGUCGAGUCGGCCUGCGCGGAAGAUGUAACGGGGCUAAACCAUGCACCGAAGCUGCGGCAGCGACACUAUGUGUUGUUGGGUAGGGGAGCGUUCUGUAAGCCUGUGAAGGUGGCCUGUGAGGGUUGCUGGAGGUAUCAGAAGUGCGAAUGCUGACAUAAGUAACGAUAAAGCGGGUGAAAAGCCCGCUCGCCGGAAGACCAAGGGUUCCUGUCCAACGUUAAUCGGGGCAGGGUGAGUCGACCCCUAAGGCGAGGCCGAAAGGCGUAGUCGAUGGGAAACAGGUUAAUAUUCCUGUACUUGGUGUUACUGCGAAGGGGGGACGGAGAAGGCUAUGUUGGCCGGGCGACGGUUGUCCCGGUUUAAGCGUGUAGGCUGGUUUUCCAGGCAAAUCCGGAAAACCAAGGCUGAGGCGUGAUGA
rnacentral:rRNA from 1 species